rfam:Morus notabilis contig11212, whole genome shotgun sequence.
UAACCAUGCCAAGGACAUUUCUGAAUGAGAUCCUUGAACCACUCCCAUGACUCAUAAAGAGGCUCAAAAUCCAACUGUUCAAAUUGCGCAAUCUCACUCUUCAACUG